AGGUACAUAGCUCAUUUGGAAGAGCAAUAGGCUUUUAACCUAGUGGUGAUUGGUUCAAGUCCAAUUGUACUUA
rnacentral:tRNA from 1 species